rnacentral:rRNA from 1 species
AUUGAACGCUGGCGGAAUGCUUUACACAUGCAAGUCGAACGGCAGCACGGGAGCUUGCUCCUGGUGGCGAGUGGCGAACGGGUGAGUAACAUAUCGGAACGUACCCAGUAAUGGGGGAUAACUAUCCGAAAGGAUAGCUAAUACCGCAUACGCCCUGAGGGGGAAAGGCGGGGAGUCGAAGACCUCGCGUUAUUGGAGCGGCCGAUAUCUGAUUAGCUAGUUGGUGGGGUAAAAGCCUACCAAGGCGACGAUCAGUAGCUGGUCUGAGAGGACGACCAGCCACACUGGAACUGAGACACGGUCCAGACACCUACGGGAGGCAG